GAGGAAUAUUGGUCAAUGGACGGAAGUCUGAACCAGCCAAGUAGCGUGCAGGAAGACGGCCCUAUGGGUUGUAAACUGCUUUUGUAUGGGGAUAAAGUCAAUCACGUGUGAUUGUUUGCAGGUACCAUACGAAUAAGGACCGGCUAAUUCCGUGCCAGCAGCCGCGGUAAUACGGAAGGUCCAGGCGUUAUCCGGAUUUAUUGGGUUUAAAGGGAGCGUAGGCGGAUUGUUAAGUCAGCGGUUAAAGGGUGUGGCUCAACCAUGCAUUGCCGUUGAAACUGGCGAUCUUGAGUGCAGACAGGGAUGCCGGAAUUCGUGGUGUAGCGGUGAAAUGCUUAGAUAUCACGAAGAACUCCGAUCGCGAAGGCAGGUGUCCGGGCUGCAACUGACGCUGAGGCUCGAAAGUGUGGGUAUCAAACAGGAUUAGAUACCCUGGUAGUCCACACAGUAAACGAUGUAUACUCGCGGUUUGCGAUAGACAGUAAGCCGCCAAGCGAAAGCAUUAAGUAUACCACCUGGGGAGUACGCCGGCAACGGUG
rnacentral:rRNA from 1 species